rnacentral:rRNA from 1 species
CCAAGGAGUCUAACAUGUGCGCAAGUCAUUGGGUAAUAAAACCUAAAGGCGUAACAAAAGUAAAAAAACUUUGCUUUGUUAGGGAGGAUGGAUGUUGGCAAUUUGCUGCAUCCCGCACUCCCGGGGCGUCUGUUACUCAUUGCGAGUAAAGGCGCACCUAGAGCGUACACGUUGGGACCCGAAAGAUGGUGAACUAUGCUUGACCAGGAUGAAGCCAGGGGAAACCCUGGUGGAGGUCCGUAGCGAUUCUGACGUGCAAAUCGAUCGUCAGAGUUAAGUAUAGGGGCGAAAGACCUAUCGAACCAUCUAGUAGCUGGUUCCCUCCGAAGUUUCCCUCAGGAUAGCUGGUGCCAAUGAUGAAACGAGUCUCAUCCGGUAAAGCGAAUGAUUAGAGGCCUUGGGGCCGAAACGACCUCAACCUAUUCUCAAACUUUAAAUGGAUGAGAGCCUUGGCUUGCUUAAAAGUGAAGCCAGGGACUUGGAUCUAGGUGCCAAGUGGGCCAAUUUU